UGGGGAAUCUUCCGCAAUGGGCGAAAGCCUGACGGAGCAACGCCGCGUGAGUGAAGACGGCCUUCGGGUUGUAAAGCUCUGUUAUAUGGGACGAACGGGCGUAUGGUCAAUACCCAUACGCCGUGACGGUACCGUAAGAGAAAGCCACGGCUAACUACGUGCCAGCAGCCGCGGUAAUACGUAGGUGGCAAGCGUUGUCCGGAAUCAUUGGGCGUAAAGGGCGCGCAGGCGGCUCGGUAAGUCGGUCUUAAAAGUGCGGGGCUUAACCCCGUGAUGGGAUUGAAACUGCCGGACUGGAGUGUCGGAGAGGAAAGCAGAAUUCCUAGUGUAGCGGUGAAAUGCGUAGAUAUUAGGAGGAAUACCAGUGGCGAAAGCGGCUUUCUGGACGACAAUUGACGCUGAGGCGCGAAAGCCAGGGGAGCAAACGGGAUUAGAUACCCCGGUAGUCCUGGCCGUAAACGAUGGAUACUAGGUGUAGGAGGUAUCGACCCCCUUCUGUGCCGGAGUUAACGCAAUAAGUAUCCCGCCUGGGGAGUACGGCCGCAAGGUUGAAAC
rnacentral:rRNA from 1 species